CUCAUCUUCGUCCUUAGGCUUUCCUCAUACUCACCCUCAUCCUAUUCCUAAUCCUGCUUCGCAUCCUAUACUCAUCCUCAUCCUUAUCCUUGUCCUCAUCCUCAUCCUAAUCCUCUCCCUCAUCCUCAUCUUUAUCCUCAUCUUCAUCCUUAUCAUAUCCUCAUCCUCAUCCUUAUGCUUUCCUCAUACUCACCCUCAUCCUAAUCCUAAUACU
rnacentral:lncRNA from 1 species